CGCCGACCGCCGCUGCCGAGGACGACGCCGACGCGUCGCUCUCGGUGCGGGACCUGGACGCUACUGCAUGAUCGAUUGGGAUCGGAACGACGCCGUAGCUCCUCCAUUCACGCCCGGAUUGAUCGAUCCGAAUCCGAUCGAGAUACUGCGAGUCUGCGAUAAUCGGCGCGGAUUUGGUCGAGGAAUUCAUGGAAUGGAUGUAUUUUUUUUCUCGAGGGUAAUGGGCGCUUGAUAUGGGCCUUUCCUCCAUCGGCCACUUGGGCUUUCGACCCGUAAGCACUUAAAGUUCAGACACGGAACUAGUGGGCUAGAGUCGUAUAGUUGCCAUUCUACCGAGAGAAGAAAGCUUGAAAGCGGCGACGGGUGGAUGACGGACGGCGGCGACGCCGACGCGUGUGGCUGGCUUCGGCGGCCACCCCGCCGAUCCGGCGCCCCGAUGGAGGCGUUCAGGACUCGGAGGAAGCUGUCGGCUCAUGCUGUGGUCGAGCAGUGGCCGGUACGUACGAGCAAGGACGAAGGGGAGGUUUGGUCGUGUCAAAGUUAAUCGAGACGAUUUAACACUCCAGGGACAUCAUAGCCCCGCCUUGUGCCAAGGAAAAAACAAAGGAUGGCGAAGUCCAGUAUUAAUUGGACUGGUGAUGGAUAAAGACGAAAAUUCAACACAGACCAUAGCAGAGAUGGCCGGCAAACGACCGCCAGGAGAGCAGACUACAGGUCUCCUAUGACAAUGGACGAAACGUGGAAACCUCACGGCUUGUCAUGGGACUCACGGCAUACGACCGUAUACUAGGUUAGACUUCAGACCAUAGUACAAUUGUGUCAGUUGAAGACAAGUUACUAUUCAAGGGAACAAAGCUCCAGGCUAGAGCCGAGGCACUAGUCUUGUGGGUUUGCAUUAUUUUUUCUUUCCCAGGAAAUUCCUCUGGGUUUUUUUCUUUCCCAGGAGAUCUCUUGAAGCACAGUCAUGUUUUUGCAAUGUUUUUUCAAACAUGUGGGCCUCAUGGGGCUGAUAUUUUAGGAAAUUUUAAUGGGGCUGAUACUGUUAAGUAUAUCUGUAAGAUACCCCAUGUUUGGAUGUUGGUGUUGAUUUGAUAUCCCUACUAUUCAAGUGGAAAACUUCAUUUUAUA